CAAGAAGUAGUUUAAGUUAAAAUUUUAAUUUUGGAGAUUAAAGAUGGAAAUUCUUCCCUUCUUGA
rnacentral:tRNA from 1 species